rnacentral:misc_RNA from 1 species
GAAAUGCGAUAAGUAAUGUGAAUUGCAGAAUUCCGUGAAUCAUCGAAUCUUUGAACGCACAUUACGCCCUCUGGCAUUCCGGGGGGCAUGCCUGUCCGAGCGUCAUUACGCACCCUCAAGCCCGGCUUGUGUGAUGGGCCCCGGCGUCUCGUUCGCGAGACGGGCCCGAAAGGCAGCGGCGGCGUCGACCCGAUGAGCCCGAGCGUAUGGGGACUUCUGUCACACGUUCGCGGUGCGGACCGGCGCCUGCUUGACUUUUCUGAUUAUCCAGGUUGACCUCGGAUCAGGUAGGGAUACCCGCUGAACUUAAGC